AAGUUUCCUGAAUUUGUGGAUCGUUGCGCAUACACCUGUCGAGUGUUAGCAUAAAAUUCGCGCAAUAUGAGUUUGGCAGAAUUCCAUCCCUUAUCUAUGCAACUCGCUUUCGACCCACUUCCCCCUUUAGAGCUACUUCGGCAACUUACCCCUUUACCAACCCUUCUUUCCAACCCUCUCUAACGUACACCCUUUAAAUUUCGAUGAGUUUCCCAGUCUAGUUUCGUACCUUCCAGCGAUCGUCUUAAACUAUUUCUCUCUCUCUCUGUUUCUUCUUACAUUUUGUACAAGAAAAUAAAUUUAUUUGUAAGGAAAGAAAAAAGAAAGAAUUAGAAAACAAAAAAAUAUGUUGGGAGAUUCGUUAAAAUCAAUUGUUUUCUUCGAUAGUUAUCUAAGAGUUUCAAAACCACGAUUUAAAAACGAGGAAGAAAGAUUGCAAUUGAUAAAGAAUAUUCAAGAAGAAAUUCGUUUGGAGAGGUACAAUACGGAACAAGAGGUUCUAUUGGAGGAGAGCCAAACGGUUAUGCGAAAAAUCCAAUUGGAGAAAACGCGGUCCGUGGUACAUGAAAAUAAAAAAGCGUUUAUGGAUCACGUUCUUGCUACCGAGGAAAAGGAAAACUGGAUUAUGUAUUUGACGUGCGACGAUUUACCGGACGCCGCUAAAUUGUCCGAUAUGAAUACAUUCAUGUUCCUUUGGUCGUUGGAAGAAGAUAAAGAUAUCAAUAUGGAAAAGGUCAUAAGAAAAUGCAAAAUCGUGCAAUACUUAUUGUCGAAGCUUCACGAAAUCAUUAAUUUCUCUUUAACGAGAUCAGCCGAUUACAUCGAGGAAUGUAAAAUGAUUAGACAAGAUUUCAGGAACAAGUUGCAAAAUUGUAUAGACCAAGCUUGUUACCGUCUUUUACGUCAGAUCGAAAGAGAUAUGCUCAGAGUCGAUCUAAGGAAUGCUAUUUACGUCAAAGAAUCGAGCUAUCUUGUUUAUUGCAUCUGGGUAUUAAUUAAGCUACCGAUCAGUAUUAAAGAUAUUCCUGAUAAAGACAGAAAACCAAUCGAGGUACAUUUCAAGGAAAUCGAGCUAACGAUAAAGAUGCCGCUAGACAUCGAUUGCUAUUGCAUGGCUAUCCGUGGAUUGUGGCUCGAUUACGAUCACUAUUCCGACAUUGGGACCUCUUACGUCAUGCCGGAAAUACCAGAGAAAUAUCAAAUGAACAUGGAUCUGUUAACGUUUUGUUCGAACGAAUACGAAACGAAACGUAAGAUACGCGAGGAACAACUGGAGGGACGUAGAUUAAGAUUGGAAGAAAAAAAAGCAAUGCUCCGGAAGAUGGAGAAUCCGGUACCAGCGGUGACGAUAAAGUCAGAUAGAAGAGGAAGAAAGGGCGGUGGUCAAUAUGGUCGGACGAAGAGACCGGAAUCCGAACAGGAAACGGAACCACUACCGUACUUACCGACUCCGAAUGAGAUCAUUUUAUUAAAAGAAGAGGAAAUACGUAAGGAAGUUAGAAAACAAUUGUUCACCAAGUGCGAAAAAACAGAAAUUAAUUUACGCAAGUAUAAAAUCUUAGGUGGAAUUUAUCACAUCGAUCUGGUCUAUCAGCCACCUCAGCCCAAGGAUAUGAGACGAAACAUUUUCCUCACGACUCUACAAAUACCCAAAGAAUUGAAACACGUGCCAUUUUAUAAACCUUACAAGGCACCGCCACCUGCACCGGCUUCGGAAAGAACACCGGAAAUCAUCGAGAAUGAAAUGAGAGCUUUGGAAACUGCGAUGGAAGCUCUUGCAUUGGUUACAUUGAAGUUGCCCGAUACGGUGUUAUGGUUCGAACCACCAUUGGUGGCACACUGGAUUCCCGAGAAAAAAAUCUGGUCGACUCAAGACGUACACGAUAUUAAGUUCAACGAGGAAAAACAACAGAUAACAUUUCGUACCGGAAGAUUUGGGAUUCACGGUUUGGCGGCAAAUAAAUUGAUCAAUCUUCCAUUUCAAAGUUGGGAAGUUAAACCGGAAAUGGGUAGAAACAGUCAAGGUGGGGUCGUUCUCAAUUUAACGGCUGCUACGGUUCAAGCGGAAUUUCUUGUCAGGGAAGAUAUGGUUUGUUUGAACUCGUUGAUAGGCGGAACAUCGCCGGCGCUUCAAAACAUCGUCGGUGAAUACAUGAAGUUACAAUUUUUAAUAGACAAAAUGCGAGAAGGUGGAUGUGAUUUAUUUCCGGAACGAGACACGGCAAGUUACGUCAAAGGACUUCCUAUGAAACAUUUGGUGGAAUGUAACUAGAACUUCGCGUGAAAUAGUUUUACAAUUCAAGGAAUUGCAUGGGUGUGUUGCCAAACAGCGGACAAACCUGACACUUUUAGUGACGCCUUCUCAAACGAUGAUUGUUCAGUGUACCGAAGUCAGUUCAGAAUUUUCCAAUGUACCAAUAGAUGGCGAGAAUACGAAGGUGCGAGGAAUAAAACCGAUUCAUAUCGUUCUA
rnacentral:misc_RNA from 1 species